rnacentral:rRNA from 1 species
CCUACGGGAGGCAGCAGUGGGGAAUAUUGGACAAUGGGGGCAACCCUGAUCCAGCGACGCCGCGUGUGUGAAGAAGGCCUGCGGGUUGUAAAGCACUUUUAGUGGGGAUGCCUAACCCAAAGAAAAAGCACCGGCUAACUCUGUGCCAGCAGCCGCGGUAAUACAGAGGGUGCGAGCGUUAAUCGGAAUUACUGGGCGUAAAGCGUGCGUAGACGGUUAUUUAAGUCGGGUGUGAAAGCCCCGGGCUCAACCUGGGAAUUGCAUUCGAGACUGAAUAGCUAGGGUACGGUAGAGGGAAGUGGAAUUUCCGGUGUAGCGGUGAAAUGCGUAGAUAUCGGAAGGAACAUCAGUGGCGAAAGCGACUUCCUGGACCAGACCGACGUUCAGGCACGAAAGCGUGGGGAGCAAACAGGAUUAGAUACCCUUGUAGUC